rnacentral:lncRNA from 1 species
CAUUUGCACCACACCUGGAACUGUUGAACAGCUCUUUCUUGCUCUGUGUCUCAUUCAAAUUUGACAGCCUUUAAUGUCACCUGUAAAACAUAUUCCCAAAGAUUAGGACUCUGCAGAAGGUUUUGUUUGUGGAAAGGCUUUUACUGCUGAAAGCUAACAGUAGGACAUUCUAUGGAAUACCUGACCAGUACUCCUUGAAACUUCAGUCACGAAAAACAAGGAGAGACUGAGAAACUCUCAAGAACCAGAGGAGACCAAGGAGACACAAACACCAAAUGCAAUGUGAUAUCCUGGGUGGAAUGCCGGAACGGAAAAGGGACCUUAGGAGAAAAAUUCAUGAAAUCCGAAUAAAGUCUGGAGUUUAGUUCACAGCAAAGCACCAGUGUUGACAUCUUCAUUUUGGCAAAUGUUCC